UUCCAUUGUAUGUCCUUUCUCUCUCCUUUUUCUGUGUACUCUGAACCAAAAACACAACCUCACCUUCUUCCACCUCCACAUCCACAAUCCCCAACACCCACUACUUCCCCUCACUCAUUUCGCCGUCCGGACCACUAAAGCCGGCGGCUUUACACUCGCCGGAGUCCCACCGAAGAAACCGGAUCGGAUCCGGGCGUGUAUGUGCGCCAUUUUCCGCCACCACUUGAAAAAGCUGCAUUUUUGUUUGUGUGUUGUGAAAGAAGAAGAAAGAGGAGUGAAGAGAAGAAGACAAUGUACAAGAACCAGCUUCAGGAGCUGGCACAGCGAAGCUGCUUCAACCUCCCUUCGUACACGUGCAUAAGGGAGGGUCCGGAUCACGCGCCGCGCUUCAAAGCCACCGUUAACUUCAACGGCGAAGUCUUCGAGAGCCCACACUACUGCUCAACUCUCCGCCAGGCCGAGCACUCCGCCGCCGAGGUCGCUCUCAACUCCCUCUCCCACCGUGGACCCUCUCACUCCCUCGCCGCCAGGAUCCUCGAUGAAACUGGAGUAUACAAGAAUCUCUUACAGGAGAUCGCGCAAAGGGUAGGUGCUCCAUUGCCACAGUACACAACAUACAGGUCAGGACUCGGACAUCUACCUGUUUUCACCGGGACAGUUGAGUUGGCUGAUAUCACAUUUACCGGCGAACCUGCCAAGAACAAGAAGCAAGCGGAGAAAAAUGCAGCAAUGGCAGCCUGGUCCUCUCUAAAACAAUUGGCAAAAGAAACUGCAAGCUCUUCAACCGAACCGGAGAAUAACGACGAGCUAGAACAGAUCACGAUUGCUCGGGCCUUAUUAAACUAUCGUCAAAAAGAGAAGAUGGCUAUGUCACACCCAGAUGCUUCAAUUCCAUUUCCAAAGAAGUUUCAAAUUCAAAGUCCCAGGCCAACUAGUCCUCAAUCACGACCUGCCGCGGCAUCUAAGAUACUUCCCUUGAUUUUCCCGAGGACAUCCUCUCGAAGCAGGCCUUCCUUUGCAACACCGAACGAAAGCUCUCGAAGCAGGCCUGCAGUAGUGACAACAGCUUCCGGUGAGAGUUCCAUGAUCUCACCACCAUCUUCUAUGUUAGAAAGCCGAGUGAACCGUCGACCAAGGUUCCCUGCAGCUGGAGCAGCACCUUAUGUUCCCAUUGGACAGAUGAGAUUACCUUGCCGAGGCGUUGCCCCUCCGGUGACCAUAAGGACCGCAGUACCUGUAUUCUCUGCACCACCCCUUCCACCACCCGGUGCACUCUCUCAUCCACCAAUGCGGGCUCCUCCUUUGCGAGCCGCCCCUCCGGUCACUAUUCAGCAAGCUGUUCCUGUAUUUUCUGCUAAAGACAAACCUGUUACUGAUCCACCAGUUCAAAAAGAUGAACCACUCAUUGCUCUGCCAGUCCAAAAAGACGAACCGAUCAUUGCUCCGAAAGACGAUUCGCCGAACAUCACAACCACAAGCAUUACUCCAGUUAGCCAAGAAACCAAACAAGAGGCGAAAGCCGAGGAGACAGAUGCUGCCGUUCCACCGGAAUCCGAGACAUUGCCGAGCUUGGAGCAGCUGAAGAUUUGAAGCUAAUUGGAAAAAGGUCUUAGAGAGAGUCAAUGGGAGAUUUGAUCUGGUUCUCAUAUGGCAAUGCAAUGAGUAGUGUAAUAUCAUCAUCAUGAUUCAUGAUCCCCUUCCUUUUGACCUUUGUUGACCCCAUUUUGUUCUGUUAAAAUUUGAGAAAUUGGUGCAUGUUAGUAGCCAGCAUCAGCAGUCAAAUAUCUGUGAAAUUUAAGCGCAGGUUGUUGCAUGUACAAAGUGAGAUUCGAACUAUCCGCAUUUGUUUAUGCGGACGAGGAAAUUGAUUACUCGACCAAUCCAAAUUGAUUUGUUGGAUUAAAAUUUUUAUUGGAUCGUUAGAAGCCUUGCUCCAUGUGUUUAGGGCUUUAGGCCCAUCUAUGUAAGUUUGUGGAUAACAAAAAUAUAU